rnacentral:rRNA from 1 species
UACGUAGGCAGCGAGCGUUGUUCGGAGUUAUUGGGAGUAAAGGGUGUGUAGGCGGUUGUUUAAGUUUGGUGUGAAAUCUCCCGGCUCAACUGGGAGGGUGCGCCGAAUACUGAGCGACUAGAGUGCGGGAGAGGAAAGUGGAAUUCCUGGUGUAGCGGUGAAAUGCGCAGAUAUCAGGAGGAACACCAAUGGCGAAGGCAGCACUCUGGGACGGUACUGACGCUAAGGCGCGAAAGCGUGGGGAGCGAGCAGG